ACUGCAAUGCCCGCACUUCCGGACCCCAGACUCUUCCUACGGCGACUGACACCUCAGACACGCGUUGUGGGGGGCGGCGCUCUGGCUCCGGGGCUGUGCCCAGCGCGAGCGUGGCCGGCACCCACUUGCUGCAGAGCCGGCACUGCACUGGGGUUCUUGGGGGCGGCUCCUCCAGACGUCUCUGCGGGUUGUCGGGUGCUGCCGAGUUGGGUUGGGGGACGCUACAGGUAGUGGGUCCGGAGCAGCGGCUGGCCCCUCAUCUCACUGCCCUUCCUCGGACCCCACCGUCCUCUGGAAGCUUGUGCAGGGCACCUGCCACUGUGACCACCUGGACGCAGUGGGUUGUUUUUUCCGUUUCCAUCUCUGGCUAGUCUUGAAGGCUAGACUUGCGUAGGAGAGCAGACACGAGGACAUGAGCCAGUUCUGCUGAGCUGUUACUGUAUACCUGCUUUCCCACAACAGCAAGGAAGAACCAUGGCCCAGUUUCUACGAGACUUUUCUGUGCCUCCUUUGCCCAUGCCAGGCCUCUUGCUAGGAAUAUCCUUCAGACAUCAGAUCAUUCUGUU
rnacentral:lncRNA from 10 species